rnacentral:rRNA from 1 species
CACGUAGGGUGCAAGCGUUAAUCGGAAUUACUGGGCGUAAAGCGUGCGCAGGCGGUUGUGCAAGACCGAUGUGAAAUCCCCGGGCUUAACCUGGGAAGGCAUUGGUGACUGCACGGCUAGAGUGUGUCAGAGGGGGGUAGAAUUCCACGUGUAGCAGUGAAAUGCGUAGAGAUGUGGAGGAAUACCGAUGGCGAAGGCAGCCCCCUGGGAUAACACUGACGCUCAUGCACGAAAGCGUGGGGAGCAAACAGG